UACGUAGGGUGCAAGCGUUAAUCGGAAUUACUGGGCGUAAAGCGUGCGCAGGCGGUUCGUUGUGUCGGCGGUGAAAGCCCCGGGCUCAACCCGGGAACUGCGUCCGAUACUGGCAGGCUUGAAUCCGGGAGAGGGAUGCGGAAUUCCAAGGUGUAGCGGUGAAAUGCGUAGAUAUCUGGAGGAACACCGGUGGCGAAGGCGGCGUUCUGGACUGCAACUGACACUGAGGAACGAAAGCCAGGGGAGCAAAACGGG
rnacentral:rRNA from 1 species